UCUCUCUGAAUCUGCGAACGGCUCCGCAAACCAGUUGUAAACUAUAGCAAGCUCUCUCACGGUCGCCCCUUCACGGGGGGGACCUGGGGAAAUAGGGAUAACCCUGGUAAUUCUGAGGCUAAUACCACCACGUAAAACCUGGCUGACUGGGCAACUAGAAGGCUGGGGGGCGUGCGAGUAUUUCGCGAGGUUUACCGGGAAAGGACGCACGUCUAGACCGCGCAAAACGGAUGACCAGGCCUUCGGGCAUGGGCUUCUAGCGGCUCUUGCUGUGUGCUUCUGACCUAUCAACUAGAUGGCAGCGUAAGGGACAUGCUAUGGUGACAACGGGUACAGAGGAUUAGGGUUCGAUCCUGGAGAGUGGGCCUGAGAGAUU
rnacentral:rRNA from 1 species